UAGUCUAGUCUACAGUUCAUGG
rnacentral:miRNA from 10 species